rnacentral:sRNA from 1 species
CCUGGAGCAUAGUGGUGAAUGCCCAUCAUCUCAGCUGCUCAGGAGGCUGAGGCAGGAGGAUCACUUGAGCCCAGGAGUCUGGGGCCAGCCAUGGACAAUGUAGUGAGACCCAGCCUUUU